AUUGAACGCUGGCGGCAGGCCUCACCCAUGCAAGUCGAACGAGUGGCGGACGGGUGAGUAAUGUCUGGGAAACUGCCUGAUGGAGGGGGAUAACUACUGGAAACGGUAACUAAUACCGCCUACCAUCGGAUGUGCCCAGAUGGGAUUAGCUAGUAGGUGGGUGAAAGCCUCACCGAGGCGACGAUCCCUAGCUGGUCUGAGAGGAUGACCAUCCAGACUGGAACUGAGACACGGUCCAGACUCGUACGUGAGGCAGCAGUGGGGAAUAUUGCACAAUGGGCGCAAGCCUGAUGCAGCCAUGCCGCGUGUAUGAAGAAGGCCUUCGGGUUGUAAAGUACUUUCAGCGGGGAGGCGUUACCCGCAGAAGAAGCACCGGCUAACUCCGUGCCAGCAGCCGCGGUAAUUC
rnacentral:rRNA from 1 species